ensembl:lncRNA
GUCCUCCUAACAUAUGACAAAUAUUUUCUUUGUACAACUAGUAGUUACACCUCAAAUGCAAAUACUCACAGGAGUGGUAACUUGAGGUAACUUAUGUACUUAAUUUCAUAUUAAGGUACAAAUGACUAAUAGAGCAUUUUUAAAGUAUGGAUAUUCAUCACAGAGAGUGAAAGACCAUUUGGCAUCUGAAAAUUAAGAAAUAGGAAGAGCAGUACAGAAGAUUCAAUUUAAAGAAUGCCCUAAAGCAAAUGCAUGCCAUGUUGGAGGUUUGGCAGGAGCAGAAGUAGGAUCCUGGAGCGGGGGGUGACUGUGAUUGCGAAAGCUCCAGAGGGAAGAAAGCCUGAAAUAAACUGAGGCCCAGGGCCUUGGGAAAUGAGUGGUCAGCUCCAGGUAAGAUGCAAC